AGGGGCACUAGACCUAGAGAAUGUUAAAACUUCACAUUAUGACUUGGAACUAGACCUUCGGGAUGCUAGCGACUAUACCAUGUGAGAGACAUGAGGAUUGGGUACUUGAGACAGUGACCUUGCUUGUUUGCCAUUUGUGCUCAUUCGCACAUGCUUGUGAGGGUCGCUCCCCACAAGCCGGCACUCCGGAGUUAGCCUACGCGACUUAUGUUCGCUCGUGCGGUAUUGAGAAGCCUACGGGGUCGAGUGGGACAGACACAUUCCAAGAGUAGGGAUGUUGGGCUACCACAGGCACUUAGGCGGCACAAGCUGGACUACCUUGGGUAGGUCCCUAAUUGGAAAUGGAAAUCGACACGGUUUGAUAAUGAAGGAUCACUACUAGAUAGGCUUAGUAGUUGGAUUACAUUUACAUGCCUUUAGCAUAGUGUGAGAUAUGUAGUAUGCUUGGUUGCCAUGAUAGAACUUCUACAUCAUGCAUUGAUAAAGGUUAACAACAUUGAACUAGUGCCAUU
rnacentral:lncRNA from 1 species